rnacentral:rRNA from 1 species
UACGAAGGGGGCUAGCGUUGUUCGGAUUUACUGGGCGUAAAGCGCACGUAGGCGGAUCGUUAAGUCGGGGGUGAAAUCCUGGAGCUCAACUCCAGAACUGCCUUCGAUACUGGCGAUCUCGAGUCCGGAAGAGGUGAGUGGAACUCCGUAGUGUAGAGGUGGAAUUCGUAGAUAUUAGGAAGAACACCAGUGGCGAAGGCGGCUCACUGGUCCGGUACUGACGCUGAGGUGCGAAAGCGUGGGGAGCAAACAGGG